AGCAGCACCAGCAGCGGAGAGUGUCAGGCUGGGUCGAUCUGUGGGAUAUCAUGGAGACGUGUUUUCUUCUCACCCUUUGGGUAUUGACUCGUCCAGGUGCUGCGCUGGGUGACUCGGUCCAGUCCGAAGAACUCCAAGUGUCUGGAGUAGAAGGAGAUGUUGUGACACUCUGCUGUUCUUACGAUACCAACUAUACUGGUUACGUCUAUCUGAAUUGGUACCGUCAACGUCCGAAUCAAGCCCUACAGUACAUAGUCAAGAGAGGAGUGAAGCGAGCUCAGGGUUACACCCACUCUGCAGAUUUCGCCCAGCAGAGGUUUUCUUCCCAGGCUGAGGACAGCUCCACAGUUCUAAACAUCACAGCCCUGGAGCUGUCAGACGCAGCGGUGUAUUACUGCGCCCUGGAGAGGGCACUCUGA